GACAGAGGGUGCAAACGUUGUUCGGAAUUACUGGGCGUAAAGCGCGUGUAGGCUGCGACGUAAGUCAGGUGUGAAAGCCCUCAGCUUAACUGAGGAAGUGCACUUGAUACUGCGUCGCUUGAGUGUCGGAGGGGGUGGCGGAAUUCCCGGUGUAGAGGUGAAAUUCGUAGAUAUCGGGAGGAACACCUGUGGCGAAGGCGGCUCACUGGUCCGGUACUGACGCUGAGGUGCGAAAGCGUGGGGAGCAAACAGG
rnacentral:rRNA from 1 species